CACACUAACCUAAUGUCGUAGAGGCCAACGCACGUAUGGACCUGACAUUGAACCUGAGAAAAUGCAGAGCUUUCAAGUAACCUUUGGACCUAUACACAUCUAAUACAGCUCUCAAGUGUCGUUAGCACUGCCAGGUUAACAGAGAAGUAAUUGCUAAUGGAUGCCUGGAGGUACUAGUUCAAUAUUGUCAACGGCACUCAAAUGUAUCAUAUUAGUCCUAUCAAAUGUAACUGCUAAUAGAUGCCUGUGAAUUGGACUCCAUUAAUUACCUCGCACAAACCAAAUCGAAUUAGUUUCAAACAAUCAGCAAACACAA
rnacentral:lncRNA from 1 species